rnacentral:piRNA from 1 species
UACGUUUCCUAUAUGGAGAUC